rnacentral:lncRNA from 1 species
AAGGAUAGUUGUACCUACUCUAAACAGCCAGUAAAUCUGAGAAGACAAAAACUUAGGAUGUACAGAAAUCUAAAGAAUAAGGGAAGACUGAAGGUCUAAAACAGCCUUAAAGGAACAGCUGUGGGAGAAAACAAGGAGAAGCUGAGGCAUCAUGUUGAAAUGGAGCAAAGGGAACUAAUUUGAGCUAUCCAAUUGUACAACACUUCUGAACUGCAGUUUCUGAAGCCUACAGUAAUUUAAC